UAUUAUUAUUAUUAUAAUUAUGAGCCCGGAAGAAGCUCCUUCCAGAGAUCACAGUGUUCUGACUUUCUGGGCAACUCUUCCAGCAAUACUAGAGGUGUGAUGCUUUAAUCCCCACCUGUAAUUUAUGCUUUACAUUUGAAAAAUCCCUGCAUGUGAAUGUGCAAAAGAACCUCUCCCACUAAGUUUCAUAAAGUCCUGCUUAUCACUGCUGUGAGGAAUCUGCAGAAUGUUCCAGUCAUGAACACGCCUCUCUGUGAAGCUGGUGUUGCAACUCUGGUGAUGCAUUAAUGAAGAGAUAAUCACAGUGGUAGGGUGCUUUUUAACUGAAUGAAGUGUUUUGCCUUUUA